UGGGGAAUAUUGCACAAUGGAGGGAACUCUGAUGCAGCGACGCCGCGUGAGUGAUGAAGGACUUCGUUUCGUAAAACUCUGUUCUAUGGGAAGAAAAGGACUGUACCAUAGGAGAAAGCUCCGGCUAAAUACGUGCCAGCAGCCGCGGUAAUACGUAUGGAGCGAGCGUUGUCCGGAAUUAUUGGGCGUAAAGGGUGCGCAGGCGGCUUUACAAGUUGGAUGUGAAAUAUUGUGGCUCAACCACAAACGUGCAUCCAAAACUGCAAAGCUUGAGUUAAGGAGAGGUAAGUGGAAUUCCUGGUGUAGCGGUCGAAUGCGUAGAUAUCAGGAGGAAUACCGGUGGCGAAGGCGACUUACUGGACUUAAACUGACGCUCAGGCACGAAAGCGUGGGGAGCAAACAGG
rnacentral:rRNA from 1 species